rnacentral:rRNA from 1 species
AACGAACGCUGGCGGCAUGCCUAACACAUGCAAGUCGAACGGGACCUGCGGGUAGAGUGGCGCUCGGCUGAGGAACGGCGGGGAAGUUGCUCUUGUGUGCGGAACAACUCGCUGGAGGGGGAGCUCAUAUCGGAAAGGGUGCUAGGACCAAAGAUCUACGGCCGUUGGAUGGGGGCGGGUUGGAUUUGCCAGUUGGUGGGGUAAAGGCAUACUUAGGCGACGAUCCAUAGGUGGUCGGAGAGGAUGAACAGCCACACUGGAACUGAGACAGGGACACGACUCCUAAGGGAGGCACCAGUGGGGAAUAGGAGGCAGUGGGCGGAAGCAUGAUGCAGCCGUGCCGCGUGGAUGAAGAAAACGCUCGGGUUGGAAAGUACGUUCAGCGGGGAGGAAGGGAGUAAAGUUGAUACCAAUGCUGAUUGACGGUAACGGGUGAAGAAGCACCGGCUAACUCCGUG